AUCUGAUCUCAAAUCAGGUAGGACUACCCGCUGAACUUAAGCAUAUCAAUAAGCGGAGGAAAAGAAACUAACAAGGAUUCCCCUAGUAACGGCGAGUGAAGCGGGAAGAGCUCAAAUUUAAAAUCUGGCGGUGUAUUCCGUCCGAGUUGUAGUCUAGAGAAGCAUCAUCCGUGCUGGACCAUGUACAAGUCUCUUGGAACAGAGCGUCAUAGAGGGUGAGAAUCCCGUCCUUGACAUGGACUCCCAGUGCUUUGUGUUGUGCUCUCAACGAGUCGAGUUGUUUGGGAAUGCAGCUCAAAAUGGGUGGUAAAUUCCAUCUAAAGCUAAAUAUUGGCGAGAGACCGAUAGCGAACAAGUACCGUGAGGGAAAGAUGAAAAGCACUUUGGAGAGAGAGUUAAACAGUACGUGAAAUUGUUGAAAUGGAAACGCUUGAAGUCAGUCGCGUUCUCUGGGAUUCAGCCUUGCUUCUGCUUGGUGCACUUCCUAGUUUACGGGCCAACAUGGAUNUUGACCGGUGGAAAAGGAUUUGGGGAAUGUGGCACCUCCGGNUNUGUUAUAGCCCCUUGUCGCAUACAUCGGUUGGGAUCGAGGUUUCAGUGCACGCUG
rnacentral:rRNA from 1 species